GUGAACGCUGGCGGCAGGCCUAACACAUGCCAGUCGAACGGCAGCACAAGAGAGCUUGCUCUCUGGGUGGCGAGUGGCGGACGGGUGGGGAAUGCAUCGGAAUCUGCCCAUUUGUGGGGGAUAACCUCGGGAAACCGGGACUAAUACCGCAUACGACCUACGGGUGAAAGCAGGGGAUCUUCGGACCUUGCGCAGAUGGAUGAGCCGAUGCCGGAUUAGCUAGUUGGAGGGGUAAAGGCCCACCAAGGCGACGAUCCGUAGCUGGUCUGAGAGGAUGAUCAGCCACACUGGGACUGAGACACGGCCCAGACUCCUACGGGAGGCAGCAGUGGGGAAUAUUGGACAAUGGGCGCAAGCCUGAUCCAGCCAUGCCGCGUGUGUGAAGAAGGCCUUCGGGUUGUAAAGCACUUUUGUUGGGAAAGAAAAGCAGCCGGUUAAUACCCGGUUGUCAUGACGGUACCCAAAGAAUAAGCACCGGCUAACUUCGUG
rnacentral:rRNA from 1 species